rnacentral:rRNA from 1 species
AUUGAACGCUGCCGGCAGGCCUAAAACAUGCAAGUCGAGCGGAGCGGCGGAGGGGGGGGUAAUGCCUAGGAACCUGCCUGGUAGUGGGGGAUAACGUCCGGAAACGGGCGCUAAUACCGCAUACUACCAGAUGAGCCAAGGUGGGAUUAGCUAGUGGGUGGGGGAAAGUCCUACCAAGGCGACGAUCCGUAACGGGUCUGAGAGGAUGAUCAGUCACACUGGAACUGAGACACGGUCCAGACUCCUACGGGAGGCAGCAGUGGGGAAUAUUGGACAAUGGGCGAAAGCCUGAUCCAGCCAUGCCGCGUGUGUGAAGAAGGUCUUCGGAUUGUAAAGCACUUUAAGUUGGGAGGCGGUACCAACAGAAUAAGCACCGGCUAACUUCGUGCCAGCAGCCGCGGUAAUAC